UUUCAAAUCUUUGUUUCGUGUGUUCCUGGGAGGAAUUCGAUCUCGGAAUACCACCUAAAUAACUACGACCAGAGAGUCAAAUAGGUCGGGAAGAAAGAGUCUGAGGUCGGGUUGGACGACAUACAUCUUGGUUGGCUCCGCCAGCGCGACAACUGUCCAAAUCAUUUGACGCUUCUUCUCACUGAGCAGCCCCUCGACUUCCACUUCAGGUUCGGGGAGCUCCGGCAGGGGGACUUGAGUCUCAGCAGAACCUUCCCUUUUCUUCUCUCUCCUUUCCCUCAUCUCCCGGGCCUCAACCGAAUUUGCUCCAUUUUGCUCAGUUGGGGAGCGGAGGUACCCUCGAGCGGUGUAUGGGCUGUGAUAUUUGUGGUAGCGGGGGUAGAACUCGGAAGGCUGGCCAAGGUUGUGUCCUUCCGAGCGGACGAGGUCGGCUCGGUGACCGAGGGCUUG
rnacentral:lncRNA from 1 species